rnacentral:rRNA from 1 species
UACGGAGGGGACUAGCGUUGUUCGGAAUUACUGGGCGUAAAGCGCGCGUAGGCGGAUUUGCAAGUCGGGGGUGAAAGCCCGAGGCUCAACCUCGGAACUGCCCUCGAUACUGCAAAUCUCGAGUCCGAGAGAGGUGAGUGGAAUUCCUAGUGUAGAGGUGAAAUUCGUAGAUAUCAGGAGGAACACCGGUGGCGAAGGCGACUUCCUGGACACCAACUGACGCUGAGACGCGAAAGCGUGGGGAGCAAACAGG